rnacentral:lncRNA from 1 species
UGAUGUCAGGCCCAUACAACCCCCCUCAAAAAGACCAGGCAAACUGCUUCACCUCACCCCGUCGCCGUAAUAUCAGGGUCCAUUCCCGUGGGCCGCAAAAACAACCGAAGCUGUUCUGCCUCAACCCCCGGCGACGUCGCUGUCCUGGGUCCUUUAAGCGCAAUGAAAACCGUUCCACCCCAGCGUCACUGCUUGAGGGAGAGAACAGGGUCAGUCGCAGCUUGACGGGGUGGGGACCAUCCAGUCCGUUGUGUAACAACUAGCUGAGUCUGAAGCCCCAUUGUCACAACCUUCCAACGUUCAGCACCACGUCCUGAAUCAUCAGUGCCCCCUUCGAGUUUACAGUUACACUUACAGUUACUGUUACAGUGUCAGCACAAGUGCGGAGGGGUUCGUCGAAGCCUUAGGGGCGCCCAUUAGGGGGCCGUUCAUGAAAGGUGCCUAGUCGCACUGUGGAUCACACUGUACGGGUGCCGUAUGCCAUUUCAGCCCACCACACACAGCGGGGAGAGCGCCUGGCUGAAUUAUUUAUAACGAUCGGAUGCUUGCUUGCGCGUUCCAUUCCGUUCGUGAACUUCUUAACGUCGAUGUUGCUGUUCGUCGUUGUCGAUACCUUCAGUUUGAUGACUAUUUGGUCUGUCUGAACGCACGCGCCCACGUCUCUUGGUUCUUCUCCCAGUCCCGCUCGCUCUUCCCUUUCCUCCGGAU